AAAAGUUAAUUUGUACGGUAGGCCCCCCUGACGAUCGUUCCUGGAAAUCUACAAAAAAUCGGGCUUUCCGGAACCAAUGGAUAGAGGCUGGUCAUGCUUGAAUUUCCGGAAGAUGGCAGCUCUAGAGCUAAAAUUCCACCUGAAUAAUAACUAAUUUCCCGGAAGUCUAAAUCAUACAAACUGAGUAUUUAUAGAUAAAUCUCUUUGGAAAAUAAUGAAGCUUAAAUCUUGAAACGAGAGGACUCCGGAGGACUCCUUAUAGCUCCAUACGGAUUCAUUUGAUUCAUACGUCCUAUAGGGAAAACUUCGAGUUUAUUGAAACCACAAUUUCGUUUUUGCUACUUGAGGUGUAGUAACCGUUCCGUUUGUAUUUUUUUUUGUGUGUUUCGAAAAAGAAGAACACUCCCCAAAAAAAUUGAAGUUCCGUAGCCGGUUUGACUUGCUAAUUUUAUUUCAAGAACGUGCUUAAAGGAGAACUUCAGUUAGUAACUAGUGCAAGCGGAAAUCAGAUCAAAUAGUUGGACGAGUUGCAUAUUCCUGACGGCUGUUUGAGACUCCAGAGUUCUACUUAUGAAACUACUUAAACGGAACGAGAAGGUAAAAGGACAAAAAAGUUGGCAGGUGGUAAAAGGUAAAUGGAUAUAGAACUGGCCAAACGAACUAACAUUAAAAAGACAUCCAUUACCGGCCCCGAAUUUCUUCGUAAAGCCCGAAAGGGGGACCUUGAUGUCGAUUAACCCUCAACAAUAAAAUUCUUGACUACAACUUCCUGCCCAACCCGAAUAACAUAAUCAAUCUUUUCUUUGUUACUUCGAAGAAAUGCAUUGCGUUAAAGGCAUAUGCAUAAAAAAGGCGAGGAAAUCUGUAUAGCUUUAUUUGGCAAUGUGGAGAAUAAUUAUAACGAAGAAAAAUAUGUGACAGGUGGGUAUAUAACUUUCGAAUCGAAAUACGGUAUAGAGUUGGCCUAGACCAAAGAAGAACAGGUUAUGUUGAUUCAAUAUAGCCUUGUCUCCUAUAUUUGAUACAACAUUUCUCUUCGAUAUGCACCAUACUAGACAAUUCCACAUAUCUGUUAAGGUUUCUUAUAAUGGAACGCAAUGUUGUCUAAAGUGCUAAACUAAAAUAAUUUUGUUUUCCUUUUGGGGAUUUCUCUUUUUGUUUCUGUUUAUCUGCUACACGUCAAUUUCAGUCACUCCAAAACCACUGCAAUAAGUUGACAAGAAAUGCGCUGUUAAUUUCGUUUUUCGACCUGAAUCUCGCAGCACCGUGGAUUAUCAACACACAAUUUGUUGACUAGUACAGAUGGACAUGCCAUCAAAUUAAAAACUGAUUCUUCCUGAAAAUAGCAGACGUUACGUAACGUUGAGCAAAACGUUUCACAAUCAUCGAUUAUACUUGUUCGCUUGUAAAUUGCGUGUAUUAUGUGUUUUUCGCUGUUAAGUGACGCAAUAAGUGCUGCUGUUUAUGUCUUAGGACAUAGUUAUAAUACACAGGAAGGGGUAAAAGCCCACAAACAA